GAAAAGAAGUCCGACUUCCUCUCCGCGCUGCUCUGGUGCGAUCUGGAAUCGGCAGGAAAUGGCUCGAACACCCGUCCCGCGCCUUUGCAGUCAGCCCUCGCUUUGCUGAAGGGAAGCAGCUCCCACCAAAGUCUUACCGCCCCCUCCCCCACGAAAGACCCGCGCAGGUCAGAGCCUACGAGAAAAGCCCGGAGCCAUCCACUCACCUGGGUGAGGCCAUAAAGAGUUAAAAUUACCAACCAUGAGAAGGAAAAGUGAUUUUUGGCAAACAUGAAACAUUGGUGAAUCGGAGUCUGACUACCAAAUUUGGGAGUGGAUCUGGACAAAAUGAAAGUUUACAUCUAGCAGCUGAGCAGCUGAGGAUGAGUUCGGCUCAUGUGAACAUGAAU